GUGGGGAAUCUUGCGCAAUGGGCGAAAGCCUGACGCAGCAACGCCGCGUGGGGGAUGAAGGCUCUCGGGUUGUAAACCCCUUUCAGGAGGGACGAAAAUGACGGUACCUCCAGAAGAAGCCCCGGCCAACUACGUGCCAGCAGCCGCGGUAACACGUAGGGGGCGAGCGUUGUCCGGAUUUAUUGGGCGUAAAGAGCUCGUAGGCGGUUUGGCAAGUCGGGUGUGAAAUUUCGAGGCUCAACCUCGAAACGCCACUCGAUACUGCCAUGACUGGAGUCCGGUAGAGGAGUGCGGAAUUCCUGGUGUAGCGGUGAAAUGCGCAGAUAUCAGGAGGAACACCAACGGCGAAGGCAGCACUCUGGGCCGGUACUGACGCUGAGGAGCGAAAGCGUGGGGAGCAAACAGGAUUAGAUACCCUAGUAGUCC
rnacentral:rRNA from 1 species